AGGAGGCAGCAGUGAGGAAUAUUGGACAAUGGGCGCAAGCCUGAUCCAGCCAUGCCGCGUGCAGGGAGAAGGUCCUAUGGAUUGUAAACUGCUUUUAUACAGGAAGAAACAACGCUACGUGUAGCGUCUUGACGGUACUGUAUGAAUAAGGACCGGCUAACUCCGUGCCAGCAGCCGCGGUAAUACGGAGGGUCCAAGCGUUAUCCGGAAUCAUUGGGUUUAAAGGGUCCGUAGGCGGCCAAAUAAGUCAGUGGUGAAAGCCCAUCGCUCAACGAUGGAACGGCCAUUGAUACUGUUUGGCUUGAAUUAUUAGGAAGUAACUAGAAUAUGUAGUGUAGCGGUGAAAUGCUUAGAGAUUACAUGGAAUACCAAUUGCGAAGGCAGGUUACUACUAAUAUAUUGACGCUGAUGGACGAAAGCGUGGGGAGCGAACAGGAUUAGAUACCCCGGGUGGUCCC
rnacentral:rRNA from 1 species